AUACGUAGGGGGCUAGCGUUAUCCGGAUUUACUGGGCGUAAAGGGUGCGUAGGCGGAUUUUUAAGUGAGAUGUGAAAUACUCGGGCUUAACCUGGGUGCUGCAUUUCAAACUGGAAGUCUAGAGUGCAGGAGAGGAGAAGGGAAUUCCUAGUGUAGCGGUGAAAUGCGUAGAUAUUAGGAGGAACACCAGUAGCGAAGGCGGCUUUCUGGACUGUAACUGACACUGAGGCACGAAAGCGUGGGGAGC
rnacentral:rRNA from 1 species